AUUUGAUGGUCAGGGCAGCUACCACAUAAUAUCUUGAAACGCUCCCAAUACUCAUACAAAAACUCCCCAGUCUAUUGGCGAAUGCCACGGAUUUCCUUCCUUAUACU